rnacentral:lncRNA from 1 species
GGGUCGGGACUCCGGGGAUGGGAAGGGCGGGAGGAUCCCCCCGGGAAGGUCCUUGAGGAGCAGCGGGGCCCGGCUGUGCUGAGGUGGAGCAGGGCCAAGGACGGGAAUUCUUCAGUUCCCAGGUGCUGCAGGAUGAGGAUCCAAGCCCAGAGCUGCUCUUUUCCAAGGGUUUGGGAUUUCCAAACUGUUCCCAUCAGGUGGAGCAGAACUCAGGACAGGAUGCAGACAAAGUCUGAGCUGUGAGCACAGAAAAAUUCCAGGAACAUGGAUAAAAACGGCAGGAAUUGCGUUGGGAAUGGGACGGGAAAAGCUGGAUCCAACUCCAGGUGUGUCCAGAGGUGGCUCCUGGGCUGAAUCUUCAGGAACUUUUCAUGGAAUUUCUGCUCCUGGUGCUGUUGAAAACCUCUGGAAAAGGAGUUUUCUCCUGGGAAAAAAAUAUUUCUGGGACAAGCUGGGAUUUCAAAGGAAUUUCUGGGAAUCCAGAGCGGCUUUUUACUUUGUUUUUUCCCAAGAAAAAUGUGGAUUUUGGUUGUUUCGAAGGUGCAGAAAAUUCCUUUUUGUUUCAUUACUGAGGGAAUUUAUUCCCAGUUCCAAGGCAAAAAUCCAUGUUUAAAGCUGCUCCCGUCGUUGUUUGUAUUCCAGGGGUUUGGGAAUUAAAAGCAAAAUGGGAAUUGUGGUAUUGGGAAUAAAUCUGAAGGGUUGUUUUCCCA